UACAGAGGGUGCGAGCGUUAAUCGGAAUUACUGGGCGUAAAGGGCGUGUAGGCGGUAGCAAGAGUGUGAUGUGAAAGCCCUGGGCUUAACCUAGGAAGUGCAUUGCAGACUAUGUUACUGGAGUAUAUGAGAGGGUGGCGGAAUUUCCGGUGUAGCGGUGAAAUGCGUAGAGAUCGGAAGGAACGUCGAUGGCGAAGGCAGCCACCUGGCAUAAUACUGACGCUGAGGCGCGAAAGCGUGGGUAGCGAACAGG
rnacentral:rRNA from 1 species